rnacentral:lncRNA from 10 species
UCAGGGGUUGUUGUUGUGGCUCAAGCACUUUGACGGGUAGAUGGCACUCAGGUCAGUACCCCUAAAUGGGGAGGCUCUGGCCAGUCACUGCCUUGGCUCUGGGAGCCUGGACUAUAUUUGGAACUCUUAGGGGCCCUGGGUCAUUGUGAAGUCUCCAGCGAGAAAUGAAGAUGGCAUAUGGAAAGGCGAUUCUUAUACUCAGAAGGAAAAGUUCCCAUGGAAGCCAUGGAUUCAUUCAUGACAAAGUGGGUGGCCUGUUUGUUUGCUUGAGGAUCCCAGCCAUGUUGCCCUCAGUAGCCCUCCCUCCUUGGACUGUGACAGUUUCUCCAUCUUCUUUUGUUUACAUGACCUUGAUCGCUUUGAGGAGUACAGGAUUGGCAAAAAUCCAAAAUGUCUGUGCACACUGCUGGUGAGGCUAUGGUAAAACAAUUACAUAUUUCUGGUUGGUGUGUCCUUGUGAAGUGAAAUUUGGCAGUAAGUAACAAAAUUACUCAUGCAUUUCCCACGGAUCAGCAUCUCCACUUGACAUAAAAU